AAAUAGCAAAAAAGUCAGAAAGUCUUUUGGAUAACAGUAAUUUAUAGGAGAGGAAGCUCUAGUCCCAAGGAUAGAGGAAUGGAUGAAAGAAGGCGAAACUGCACAGAAAAAUACUACAGAAGUAGUUAUCGAAGAGGCCAAUAGAAGUGGGAGAGCACCCGAAACAGGGGGACCCUCAAGGAAUGGUCGUUUGCCCAAGCAAUAAAGUCAGGAAAAUCUAAGGAGAAUGUAAAUCGACCUGUGGAGAUCACUAUGGAAAAGAAAAAGAGGAGCGACGAGGACCAGGAAGAAGAGGUGCAGGAAGUCGGAGAAAACCGCUGAAGGGCUUUUCAACUUGGUAAUCACAGAUGAGGUCAAAGCCGAUCUAAGGAAAGACUGGUGGGACUCCUUGAUAGUCAAGUUGUUAGGCAGGAAGAUUUCUCUGCUUGUGCUAAAAAAGAGAUUAGAGGUGAUGUGGGAUAAAAUGGGAAGCAUUGAUGUAAUAGAUAUAGAGACCAUUGUAGCCUGGAUUUGCCUACCAGGCCUUGCAAUCGAAUAUUACAACCGCAUGAUACUAGAGAAAAUUGGCAAUAUUGUUGGGAAAACCCUUAAAGUUAACACCAACACAUCUCAAAUUUCCAGGUAAAUUCGCAAAGAUUUGCACUGAAGUUGAUCUGCAAAAACCACUUAUUUCCAAAUACCUUAUCAAUGGGCUGUCUCACAUUGUAGAAUUUGAAGGGCUGCACCAAGUGUGCUUUGCUUGUGGCAGAGUGGGGCAUGAAAAAAAAAACUGCCCGAAAGUGAAGAAAACUAUGACAAACUAAGGAAGUAUGGUGGAGAAUCUAAGAGCAGAAGAGAUCAAAACAGAGAAAAAUACCAUUAACGAUGACAAUAGCACGUCUGAGAAAGAGAAAGGUAAAGGGGUAAUAGUGGAAACACAAGAUCCCUAUGGCCUCUAGAUGCUUGUGCAACGUACAACACGUGGCAAAAAGAACAACAACGCAAGAGAAGGUACAAGUAAUGGAGUGCCAGCAAAAGGCAAAGAGCAGAGGAUCGUGGAGACAAUAGCACCUCCCUCCAGGUUUGCUGCACUGCAAAUGGAUGAAGGCAAUGAAGGUUUCAUACAUAUUAAGGAAAAAGACAAAAUUAAUGAAGGACAAACAGAAACUACCAGGCCUCAAGGGGGAAAAAAAUGAUGAAAAAGGGGAGAAAAGAAUGACUCAAAAGAAAAACAAACACAGAACCCUACCUAUAAAACACAAAACCCGAAUAAGCCCACAAAUAAAAACAACUUGCGAAAUAAACCAAGACCUAGCCAUUUUGGGUCCGUCGCCCAAAAAACCCAAGAAGAAAACAAAAAUAUGAUAACCAUCCAACAACAACAGCCCAUAUCUCAACCCAAAAAUGCAAUAAUAACCAGCCCAUAACUCUUGUACACCACACCCACCCCAUCGACAGUAACACCCAGAACUAGAACUCACAACUUGAAUCCCAACCUCACCACUUCAAAGAAAAUUGGACUGAAAUGGAGAGUGAUACCUCACCACAAUCGUCAGAAGUGGUGGAAUCAACCCUGGACGGAAUGAAUUUGGAUAAACCCCCAGAUCUAACAUCCCAAGGAUUUGAAUCAAUAGAUUUAGAGGUUGUUAUAGAAGCCAUGAAAAAAUUUGAGCAGGAAAAUGGCAACAAUGGAGCCUUGAUCAAGGACAGCCAUACUGAUUUAGGGGAUGAGAUGCAGUACCAAUAAGGGGGUUCUACCCCGUAUGAAACCAGGUACUCUAUGGCGUGGUUGUUUUAUCUUGGAUUUUCUUGUUUCGUCUUUCUCUUGCUAAUAAUAUGAAGAUUUUGUCAUGGAAUAUUAGAGGGUGUGUGAAUAAUUCUACAAUUCAUACACUCAAAGAGAUUGUUAACCAACAUAGGCCAGAUAUUACUAUUUUAGUUGAAACAAAGUGUAGUGGAGAUACUGCAAGUAGAGUAAUUAAAGUGAUGGGCUUCAGAAACAAUAUUCUAGAAAAGGCAAUAGGUUUGUGGGCAGAAUAUAGGUUUUAUGGAACAACGAUGAUAUUAGGCUGAGAGUUAAUAUUUCCCAACAGUAAUUUAUUCACUUAGAGGUGAACGAUUUGAAGAAUAAAGAAUGGUUUUUAACGGCAGUAUAUGCAAAUCCUCACCCCCCAUCAAAGGAGGAUUUUGUGGGAGGUCUUGGAUGAAAUAGCCAGAGAUAUGAGAAAGGAGUGGAUGUUGAUUGGAGAUUUCAAUGACAUCAUGG